GAUGAAUGCUGGCGGCGUGCCUAAUACAUGCAAGUCGUGCGGCAGCGCGAGUAGUUUACUACUUGGCGGCGAGCGGCGGACGGCUGAGUAACGCGUGGGAACGUGCCCCAAAGUGAGGGAUAAGCCCGAGAAAUCGGGUCUAAUACCGCAUAUGGUCUUCGGAUUAAAGCUUCGGCGCUUUGGGAGCGGCCCGCGUACGAUUAGAUUGUUGGUGAGGUAAUGGCUCACCAAGUCGACGAUCGUUAGCUGGUCUGAGAGGAUGAUCAGCCAGACUGGAACUGAGACACGGUCCAGACUCCUACGGGAGGCAGCAGUAAGGAAUCUUCCACAAUGGGGGCAACCCUGAUGGAGCAACGCCGCGUGCAGGAUGAAGGCCCUCGGGUCGUAAACUGCUUUUAUGAGUGAAGAAUAUGACGGUAACUCAUGAAUAAGCACCGGCUAACUACGUGCCAGCAGCCGCGGUCAUACGUAGGGUGCAAGCAUUAUCCGGAGUGACUGGGCGUAAAGAGUUGCGUAGGCGGUUAGUAAAGCGAAUAGUGAAACCUGGUGGCUCAACCAUACAGACUAUUAUUCGAACUCACUAACUCGAGAGUGGUAGAGGUAACUGGAAUUUCUUGUGUAGGAGUGAAAUCCGUAGAUAUAAGAAGGAACACCAAUGGCGUAGGCAGGUUACUGGACCAUUUCUGACGCUAAGGCACGAAAGCGUGGGGAGCGAACGGGAUUAGAUACCCCGGUAGUCCACGCCGUAAACGAUGGAUACUAGCUGUUGGAGGUAUCGACCCCUUCAGUAGCGAAGCUAACGCGUUAAGUAUCCCGCCUGUGGAGUACGGCCGCAAGGCUAAAACAUAAAGGAAUUGACGGGGAUCAGC
rnacentral:rRNA from 1 species